rnacentral:rRNA from 1 species
GAUGAACGCUAGCGGCAGGCUUAACACAUGCAAGUCGAGGGGUAGUCAUCUUCGGAUGAUGAGACCGGCGCACGGGUGCGUAACGCGUAUACAAUCUACCUUAUACAAAGGGAUAGCCCAGAGAAAUUUGGAUUAAUACCUUAUAGUAUGUUUGAAUGGCAUCAUUUAAACAUUAAAGUUCCAACGGUAUAAGAUGAGCAUGCGUCCCAUUAGUUAGUUGGUAAGGUAACGGCUUACCAAGACAAUGAUGGGUAGGGGUCCUGAGAGGGAGAUCCCCCACACUGGUACUGAGACACGGACCAGACUCCUACGGGAGGCAGCAGUGAGGAAUAUUGGUCAAUGGGCGCAAGCCUGAACCAGCCAUGCCGCGUGCAGGAUGACGGUCCUAUGGAUUGUAAACUGCUUUUGUACAGGAAGAAACACUCCCUCGUGAGGGAGCUUGACGGUACUGUAAGAAUAAGGAUCGGCUAACUCCGUGCCAGCAGCCGCGGUAAUACGGAGGAUCCAAGCGUUAUCCGGAAUCAUUGGGUUUAAAGGGUCCGUAGGCGGGUUUAUAAGUCAGUGGUGAAAGCCCAUCGCUCAACGAUGGAACGGCCAUUGAUACUGUAGAUCUUGAAUUAUUAGGAAGUAACUAGAAUAUGUAGUGUAGCGGUGAAAUGCUUACAGAUUACAUGGAAUACCAAUUGCGAAGGCAGGUUACUACUAAUGGAUUGACGCUGAUGGACGAAAGCGUGGGUAGCGAACAGGAUUAGAUACCCUGGUAGCCCACGCCGUAAACGAUGGAUACUAGCUGUUCGGAGCAAUCUGAGUGGCUAAGCGAANUGAUAAGUAUCCCACCUGGGGAGUACGUUCGCAGAAUGAA